AGUGAACGCUGGCGGUAGGCCUAACACAUGCAAGUCGAACGGCAGCACAGUAAGAGCUUGCUCUUACGGGUGGCGAGUGGCGGACGGGUGAGGAAUACAUCGGAAUCUACUUUUUCGUGGGGGAUAACGUAGGGAAACUUACGCUAAUACCGCAUACGACCUACAGGUGAAAGCAGGGGAUCUUCGGACCUUGCGCGAUUGAAUGAGCCGAUGUCGGAUUAGCCAGUUGGCGGGGUAAAGGCCCACCAAGGCGACGAUCCGUAGCUGGUCUGAGAGGAUGAUCAGCCACACUGGAACUGAGACACGGUCCAGACUCCUACGGGAGGCAGCAGUGGGGAAUAUUGGACAAUGGGCGCAAGCCUGAUCCAGCCAUACCGCGUGGGUGAAGAAGGCCUUCGGGUUGUAAAGCCCUUUUGUUGGGAAAGAAAAGCAGCAGGUUAAUACCCCGCUGUUCUGACGGUACCCAAAGAAUAAGCACCGGCUAACCUCGUG
rnacentral:rRNA from 1 species